UACGUAGGGGGCAAGCGUUGUCCGGAUUCAUUGGGCGUAAAGAGCGUGUAGGCGGCCUGAAAGGUCAGCUGUGAAAACUCGAGGCUCAACCUCGAGACGUCGGUUGAAACCAUCUGGCUAGAGUCCGGAAGAGGAGUGUGGAAUUCCCGGUGUAGCGGUGAAAUGCGCAGAUAUCGGGAAGAACACCCGUGGCGAAGGCGGCACUCUGGGACGGUACUGACGCUGAGGUGCGAAAGCGUGGGGAGCAAACAGG
rnacentral:rRNA from 1 species